rfam:Pseudomonas alkylphenolica strain KL28 chromosome, complete genome.
GUAGGGGUUACCGCAAGGUUUCCGGGGAAAUGCCCCGGACAUUACAUGCGUGGUUCGCACCGCGAGCUACGAGCGGCUACGCCGCAAGCAUCAACCCGCCGGUGUCGAUACCGGC